rnacentral:rRNA from 1 species
UACGUAGGCAGCGAGCGUUGUUCGGAGUUACUGGGCGUAAAGGGUGCGUAGGCGGUUGUUUAAGUUUGGUGUGAAAUCUCCCGGCUCAACUGGGAGGGUGCGCCGAAUACUGAAUGACUAGAGUGCGGGAGAGGAUAGUGGAAUUCCUGGUGUAGCGGUGAAAUGCGUAGAUAUCAGGAGGAACACCGGUGGUGUAGACGGCUCUCUGGACCGUAACUGACGCUGAGGCACGAAAGCGUGGGUAGCAAACAGG